rnacentral:rRNA from 1 species
CUACGGGUGGCACCAGUGGGGAAUAUUGCACAAUGGGCGCAAGCCUGAUGCAGCCAUGCCGCGUGUAUGAAGAAGGCCUUCGGGUUGUAAAGUACUUUCAGCGGGGAGGAAGGGAGUAAAGUUAAUACCUUUGCUCAUUGACGUUACCCGCAGAAGAAGCACCGGCUAACUCCGCGCCAGCAGCCGCGGUAAUACGGAGGGUGCAAGCGUUGAUCGGAAUUACUGGGCGUAAAGCGCACGCAGGCGGUUUGUUAAGUCAGAUGUGAAAUCCCCGGGCUCAACCUGGGAACUGCAUCUGAUACUGGCAAGCUUGAGUCUCGUAGAGGGGGGUAGAAUUCCAGGUGUAGCGGUGAAAUGCGUAGAGAUCUGGAGGAAUACCGGUGGCGAAGGCGGCCCCCUGGACGAAGACUGACGCUCAGGUGCGAAAGCGUGGGGAGCAAACAGGAUUAGAUACCCCAGUAGUC